rnacentral:rRNA from 1 species
GACGAACGCUGGCGGCGUGCUUAACACAUGCAAGUCGAACGGAAAGGCCCUGCUUUUGUGGGGUGCUCGAGUGGCGAACGGGUGAGUAACACGUGAGUAACCUGCCACUGCCUUUGGGAUAACUUCAGGACACUGGGGCUAAUACCGGAUAGGAGCUCUCGCUGCAUGGUGGGGGUUGGAAAGUUUCGGCGGUUGGGGAUGGACUCGCGGCGUAUCAGCUUGUUUGGGGGGUAGUGGCUUACCAAGGCUUUGAAACGUAGCCGGCCUGCGAGGAUGACCUGCCAAGUUGGGACGGGAAUGCGGCCCGGACUCCUACGGGACGCAGCGGUGGAGAAGAGUGCACUAUGGACUGAAGCCUAAUGCAGCAACGCCACGUGCGGGAUGACGGCCAUCGGUUUGUAUUCUGCUUUCGCCUGUGACGAAACGUGAGUGACAGUAAUGGGUAAAGAAGCACCGGCUAACUACGUG